CGGACGGGUGAGUAAUGUCUAGGGAAACUGCCUGGUGGAGGGGGAUAACUACUGGAAACGGUAGCUAAUACCGCAUAACGUCGCAAGACCAAAGAGGGGGACCUUCGGGCCUCUUGCCAUCGGAUGUGCCCAGAUGGGAUUAGCUAGUAGGUGGGGUAACGGCUCACCUAGGCGACGAUCCCUAGCUGGUCUGAGAGGAUGACCAGCCACACUGGAACUGAGACACGGUCCAG
rnacentral:rRNA from 1 species